ACAGUUGACCUAAUUCCAAAAUUAAAUGGCUAGGUUCAUGCACUUUGUUAUAUUUUCAUGGGGUAAUCGUUCAACAUGAUCAAAGCUACAGGUUUGUAUCAAGUUUCUUCACAAACAAUGAGAAGUUUUACAUGACCGAAGUUCUGGUUUUUCGGAGAAAUUUGCAGUUUCCGGUGAGGCUUCAACUUUUAGGCUAUAUGUGAGCAUGUGGAGGAUAUUUUGCAGCUUACUUAGUUAUUGAUGUUGCUUGCUCAGUUAUGAUUUCACAGCUUUUUCAUUUUUAACUUGCUUUGUAUUGUUUUUGUAUUUUGGGAUGUAUGGACACUUGAACAAUGAUGAUGAUAUUAUUGUAAUAUUUUUUGAAUGGUAAUGGAACUUUGUUGGUUAUGAAUGAUA